rnacentral:rRNA from 1 species
AUUGAACGCUGGCGGCAUGCCUUACACAUGCAAGUCGAACGGCAGCGGACCUUCGGGUGCCGGCGAGUGGCGAACGGGUGAGUAAUAUAUCGGAACGUACCUUUCAGUGGGGGAUAGCGUAGCGAAAGUUACGCUAAUACCGCAUAUUCUGUGAGCAGGAAAGCAGGGGAUCGCAAGACCUUGCGCUGAUUGAGCGGCCGAUAUCAGAUUAGCUAGUUGGUGAGGUAAAGGCUCACCAAGGCGACGAUCUGUAGCGGGUCUGAGAGGAUGAUCCGCCACACUGGAACUGAGACACGGUCCAGACUCCUACGGGAGGCAGCAGUGGGGAAUUUUGGACAAUGGGCGCAAGCCUGAUCCAGCCAUGCCGCGUGAGUGAAGAAGGCC